CGCUGAUCUGAAAUCAGGCAAGUCUCCUUGGAAGUUAAAGUAUAAAACACGAGAAUUAGUUGCGGGAGACUACCUGAACUGUUAAAUUUUUAAACAAGUAAUUUUUUGUGUGAUACGUACACAACUAGGUCUAAAUAGCCUGAGCAAUAAAAAGUACAUUGGUGUUUAUUCACCAAUAGGCUUGCAAAUAUAAAAUAUACUUUACAAAGCCGACGGAAAAACGCUCGAUUAUAUGGACUCUUCUUGCAUAAUGAUCAUGAGGGGAUGUCACCGAGGAACAGCUGCUACGGCGACAGGCAAUACACUGCCAAGACCAGACGUCGGAGGAUGUAUAGAAAUAGUUUUGUUAUCCAUUAUUGUGGUUUCCUCUUGUUCUGAACUCGUAAAAUACCAAUUUUUCUUAUUAACAAGAAACAGCAGCAUCAGCACGGGUAAAUGUAAGAGUGAGAACCUGAACAGCUUACGGGAGCUCCCACUGUCGGAUUUUUGGUGAAACUCGUAAGCUAAAAAAAAAUGAAUUUUUAUUAAUAAUAUUUAGUAAUGAACGGCUAAAUAAACUGAAAAAUAAAAAUAGUU